rnacentral:rRNA from 1 species
AGCGAACGCUGGCGUCAGGCUUAACACAUGCAAGUCGAGCGGGCACUUUCGGGUGUCAGCGGCGGACGGGUGAGUAACGCGUGGGAACGUGCCCUCUGGUUCGGAAUAACUCAGGGAAACUUGAGCUAAUACCGGAUACGCCCUUUUGGGGAAAGGCUUGCUGCCGGAGGAUCGGCCCGCGUCUGAUUAGCUAGUUGGUGAGGUAACGGCUCACCAAGGCGACGAUCAGUAGCUGGUCUGAGAGGAUGAUCAGCCACACUGGGACUGAGACACGGCCCAGACUCCUACGGGAGGCAGCAGUGGGGAAUAUUGGACAAUGGGCGCAAGCCUGAUCCAGCCAUGCCGCGUGAGUGAUGAAGGCCUUAGGGUUGUAAAGCUCUUUUAUCCGGGACGAUAAUGACGGUACCGGAGGAAUAAGCCCCGGCUAACUUCGUG